CGUGCCACGAACGAGGCCGCAGUCUUCGUCAAACAUAAUAAUGAAGCAGAAGCAGAAGCAGCAGCAGCAAAAAGUUUGGGGGAGGCAGAGCACUGACCGGCGCGCCUUCCCUCGCCUUGUCGUGUGUCGUCGCUUCUCUCCUCGUCGGCGCCUUCAUCGUCCACAACAUCAACAAGACUCUGCCUCUGGUGAAUUCUCCCUCAUUUGUUGAGGCAAGCGAGGCGAUCUUAAGUAGCGAGUUGGAUCGAUUGCCUGAUUCGAUCUCUGUAGUGGACUGCUUGUUCGAUUUUACUUUGUUUUUGAUAUACACAACGAUAGAAGCAAGAGGUAGAAGGGUGUCUUUUUGGCCGGUCGGAUCCAGAGGAGAGCAAUAAUGUUGGACCUGAGGUUUCCCAGGCCAAAGAGGUCUCCAUGGGAGCUACUCCGAUCUGCUCUCUUCUCUUGCGCUCUCGUUCUAAUCUCUCAAUUCGCUCUCGCAUCUGUCCCCUGGCUUUUUCCUUCCAUCUCCCUCCUUGCUAUGCUCCCGAUUGCAGCUUUGGUUAUGGCGGUGACGAUUUUCUUGGGGAGAUUUUGGAGGCGUCUAUUUGAUGUUUCUGCAUCUGCUCCGGCUCUCGUCCUCUUCAAUCUACUGUUCAUGUGGGGAGUUUAUAUUACUGUCAUUCGAAAAGCCGUCCCCUCGUUACUGGAUGCUGUUCUCAAUGCUGAGUGCGCUUUGCUAUUGUAUGGUCUUUAUAGAAUAUUCUCUAGUGAUCCUGGAGCAGUUUCAUUUAGCUCUUCCACUGUUGAGUCCGGUCAGAAUGAAUUUGAUACUCUAAAUGUUCAAUUCGAGCAGAACUCCCCAACACUUUCAAGGGUUAGAUAUUGUAAAAACUGUAAGACUGGUAUUAAGGGAUUUGACCACCAUUGUCCUGCUUUUGGGAAUUGCAUAGGUCACAAAAAUCAUCGUUUAUUUAUUAUUCUUUUAGCUGGAUUUCUUAUUGCUGAAUCUUCCUAUACAAUGAGUUCGACCAAGUUUCUCACCAAAUCUGCUGAUGCACAGAGGAUGGAGAACAUCCUUGCUAGCAGCUUGGUCAUCAGUACAAUGCUUUUCUGUAUCCUCCAAGUGCUAUGGCAGGUUGUGUUCCUGAUAUGGCAUAUUUACUGCAUUUGUUUCAACAUCAAAACAGAGGAGUGGAUUAAUUGGAAGAGAUAUCCUGAAUUCCAACUUAUGAUUGAACCUCAACCAGGAAGUCCUUUUGGGGAGACCAGGUUCACUAAUCCAUAUAAUAAGGGUCUGCUUGAGUCUUGCAUCCUCUUUCUGAUAUCCAGUGCUGCUGCUUGAAUUCCACUGGCAUGGUAUUAAUCUCCAAUUAAGAACAUUAUAGUUAAGAUUCAUUGCAAUGACCAAAGGCAGAGUCGCCCUCCCAUCGUCAACUACUUGUCCUGCUAGGAUUCUCAAACAGCAUAAUUCAUGGCGAGGGAGAAAGUUCAUUAUGCUGAGAUGGAGCUAAUACGGUGAGUCAUCAUCUAUCAACGUGAAACAUGUCGACUUAAAAAGACCAUUGAAUUUGAAUCGAGUAAAGUUGAAACCAUCAAGGAUUAUAGUUGCGUUGGUCAAUCUAUGGACUUUGUACACGAUUGAUCGAGAACAAGCAUUUCAAGGGAAAUUAUAAUAUUACGCCCCGGGUGAGGAUUCAAAUUUCAUCCAUGUACAUUACACUUGGGAGUUUGAAUUAUUUGUGAUGUUAGAUCGUAUGUUAAGAUUUAUUUGUAUUUCUCGAUGUACUUUGAUAGCCGAUGAAAAAUAUUCAUGGCGUUAAUUCAAUCAUCUCCA